UCGGGAAUCUUCCGCAAUGGGCGAAAGCCUGACGGAGCAACGCCGCGUGAGUGAUGAAGGUCUUCGGAUCGUAAAACUCUGUUAUUAGGGAAGAACAUACGUGUAAGUAACUAUGCACGUCUUGACGGUACCUAAUCAGAAAGCCACGGCUAACUACGUGCCAGCAGCCGCGGUAAUACGUAGGUGGCAAGCGUUAUCCGGAAUUAUUGGGCGUAAAGCGCGCGUAGGCGGUUUUUUAAGUCUGAUGUGAAAGCCCACGGCUCAACCGUGGAGGGUCAUUGGAAACUGGAAAACUUGAGUGCAGAAGAGGAAAGUGGAAUUCCAUGUGUAGCGGUGAAAUGCGCAGAGAUAUGGAGGAACACCAGUGGCGAAGGCGACUUUCUGGUCUGUAACUGACGCUGAUGUGCGAAAGCGUGGGGAUCAAACA
rnacentral:rRNA from 1 species